rnacentral:lncRNA from 1 species
ACGGGCCUAGAGCGACUAGCGUAUUGUUAAGUUUGCGGGAGGCCGUGAAAUUUGCCAAACGGCACGUCCCGAAUUAUAAGCAUUAAAAUCAAUUAAGUGAGGGCCAUGAAUUUGUUUUAUUUGGCAUGGCUCGCCUCAAUUUAUUUCAGAAGAUUGCACUCUACUAAAGCAAAUUAAGAGUGUUCGCGUUUAUUUCUUUCUAAGUCUAAUAUUGUUCUCAUAAUCUAAUCUGAACUAGAGCUAAUGCUCGACUUAAUUAUUAUCAAUCUCCAAAAUGGCCAAUACAAAGUCUAGCACGAGAGUAAAGCACUAGCAUCCUAAUUUUGCAGAUUCUAAAAAUAAACUUUGCAAACGUGGUCACAAGCUCCUUCAUAUAUUUUAAUAUUAGAAAGAAAAAAACAAAAAUUACAAAAAUGCAUUCAUCACAGUAGUGAUUUGGUAUCACUUACUGGUAUUCACGUAUCCUCCAUUUUGAGAUGCUCACAAAUUACUACAUCAAUAAAGCAUGAAAAUUAGACUUCUUUAAUAUAAGACGAUUGGUAAAAGUUAACAAAUCUGUCAUGCUAAUCCCAAAUCUAAAGCAAAGCGUAAGUGAAUUCUUCAAAACUCCAAUACAAAGUACAGAAUAUGUUGUACCCAGUGACAAUUAAUAAAAUCAUUUCCAAGAACAUUGAACAAUUUCCAACAAUUCCUAACUAAAUCACAGACGGUAUAGAUGGCCUUUGAGUAAACCAACUUUUAUUCAUAUCAUGACUUGGCUAUUUGAAGCAAACAAUAAACCAGACUUAUUCAUUUAUUGAACAAUAAUAAUCCAACAAACAAAGAUAAUAAAAUUACUCUCUAUCAAACCAACACGAAGAUGCAUACUGACAAUAACCAAAAUUAGCUCAGAAAAUCGACACUGAUACAAUGGUAUUAUAUCUAACGGACUAAUGGACUUAAACACUCACCAUAUCUACCAUUACCAUCGGCUUACUGGGAAAACAGAACAAUCCACGUGAAAUCAUUCCCUUAGAUAAUUCAUUCGAUGCAAUUAACAACAAUUAAGAGUUCAAAUCGAGCAUAUAGAUGCAAAAGGGAACAGUAGACUAAUCUUGAAACAUAUUCAACAGGAGAACAAUUCAAUAUCAACGCACUCAGAUGAAAACUCGAUCAUAUUAUACCAAAAAAUCAAACGAACACAGAGUGACCCAAAACAAUAAUGAGAAAACAAACUAGAAAAAGAGAGGAACCUUGUAUUAAUGAAUCAAUCAUAGAAUCGAGAUGACAGUCGAAAUAGUUGAACAACGACCGGAAAACCACCAAAAGUGACCUCGACGAACUUGACGGAUGGAUCUCAGCAAAAUUUCAGCCACAUCCAACAACUAUAAUUGACAGAAAAUCAUGCGAAGUUCCAGAAAAGAAAUUGAAGCAAAAGAGUGAAAAUUUGAAUAGCCUUCAAACACUUUAUUUUUAUGUUUUUCGCUCAUUUUUCCUUUUGAAUCUCACCAUUUUUCUUAUAUGUGUUUUCUUUUAAUUUGAUGGAAAGAGUGCUACAAAGAUGGGGGAAGGGAAAGAGAUAGAAUUCGGAUAUUUUUGAAAAGCUCUCACAACUUGUUUUGUUGAUGAGAAAGUGACGAAAGGAGAAGAAAAUCCAGAUCCAGAAAUGGGGACCCCCUUAAUUUUGUUUUGGCAAAUGGUUUGAUAGAGGGUAUGGGGUGUGGUGUUAUGUGCGGUAGUUUUAUUUAAGGGAAGGUAUUGUAUGAGGUAACAUUUUGCGGGAAAGGUUUUAGGUGGGGGAAUAUUUUGGGGAAGAUAUUUUGGA